CCUACGGGAGGCAGCAGUGAGGAAUAUUGGUCAAUGGGCGUACGCCUGAACCAGCCAAGUCGCGUGAGGGAAGACUGCCCUAUGGGUUGUAAACCUCUUUUGUCAGGGAGCAACGCCGGCUACGUGUAGCCGGACUGAGAGUACCUGAAGAAAAAGCAUCGGCUAACUCCGUGCCAGCAGCCGCGGUAAUACGGAGGAUGCGAGAGUUAUCCGGAUUGAUUGGGUUAAAAGGGUGCGUAGGCGGAAUGCCAAGUCAGCGGUAAAAUCGCGGGGCUCAACCUCGCUCCGCCGUUGAAACUGGCGUUCUUGAGUGGGCGAGAGGUAUGCGGAAUGCGUGGUGUAGCGGUGAAAUGCAUAGAUAUCACGCAGAACUCCGAUUGCGAAGGCAGCAUACCGGCGCCCAACUGACGCUGAAGCACGAAAGCGUGGGUAUCGAACAGGAUUAGAUACCCGGGUAGUC
rnacentral:rRNA from 1 species